UUUCCUUCAUGACUUCGGUAAAAUGCCAUCUUGCUACGAAAACAGUGUCGCGUGAGUUGUAUGAGUACUAUUCUUACAAUUUUACAUACAUAAAUUACAUUAUUUUGUUUUAUUCUGAAUACAGCUUACAAAACUGAAACUUUAGAGAGAGAAAUAAUUUUCCGUUAGGGGUGUGUUAACAGGCUCAUUCAUUCCUGAGGGCCAUAUUUUUUCUGACAGAGAGCGCUAACAAAGGAAUAUCAGAAUCUGAGCAUUUGUUUACUGGUAACGUUCUUCGCUAUUUUUCCUUGGUGUUUAUAGAUUAGUAUUUAUUUUUCGCCGUAUUUCGAUCAUUUAGUGAUCGAUUGAGGCUAUCUUUUACCGUUGCUUAGCAAUAAAUUAGCUCGCGAAGCAGUUGUUCGCGCACGCACGCGCUAGCUUGAAACGUAGUCGCGUGAACGGUCGACAGCUCACGUUACCGUAUUUGAUUCGCGAGCAGCUCUGUUGAGAAGAGAUGGCCGAGAUGUACAUUCGCGUCGCGGAGGAGGAGAAUGAGGAGCCGAUGGAGAUCCCGUCAGAGGACGACGGCACGGUGCUGCUGUCCACGGUGACCGCACAGUUUCCAGGGGCUUGCGGCCUGCGCUACAGGAGCCCAGUGUCACAGUGCAUGAGGGGAGUGCGCUUAGUGGACGGAGUCUUGCACGCACCUGAAAACGGCUGGGGAAACCUGGUUUUUGUGGUCAAUUAUCCCAAAGAAACCGUCCUCCCAGAUAAUAAGAGGAAGAUGGAUGAGAUAGAUGCCUCAUCAGCAACAAAGAUCAAGAGAGGGGACCAGAAGACCUCGGAUCUGAUUGUGCUUGGUUUGCCGUGGAAAACUACAGAACAAGACCUAAAAGACUACUUCAGUACAUUUGGGGAAGUUAUCAUGGUGCAGGUUAAGCGGGACGUGAAGACUGGUAAUUCGAAAGGAUUUGGUUUUGUGAGGUUUGCCGAUUGGGAGACUCAGACCAAGGUGAUGACACAGAGGCACAUGAUUGAUGGCAGGUGGUGUGACUGCAAACUACCCAACUCAAAACAAGGUCCCGAUGAGCCAAUGAGGAGCCGGAAAGUCUUUGUGGGUCGUUGCACAGAAGACAUAAGUGCUGACGAGCUCCGUCAGUUCUUCAUGCAGUACGGGGAAGUCACAGAUGUCUUCAUUCCAAAACCCUUCAGAGCAUUUGCUUUCGUCACCUUUGCUGAUGACCAGGUUGCUGCCUCGUUGUGCGGAGAGGAUCUGAUCAUCAAGGGAGUUAGCGUGCACAUUUCCAAUGCUGAACCAAAACACAACAACACUAGGCAGAUGAUGGAGCGGGCGGGGCGCUUUGGGAACGGGUUCGGUGGUCAGGGUUUCGCAGGCAGCCGGAGUGGCAUGGGGGGUAGCUCCAGCAGCUUGGGGAAUUUUGGGAAUUUCAACCUCAAUCCAGCUAUGAUGGCUGCGGCCCAGGCUGCCCUUCAGAGCAGUUGGGGCAUGAUGGGAAUGUUAGCUCAGCAGAAUCCAUCCACAACAUCUGGCACAAGCGGCACAAGUACCACUCGGGACCAGCCCCAAACAUACAGUUCGGGCAACAGCAACUACAGUAGCAACUCGGCUGCUCUCGGGUGGGGCGCCGGCUCCAACUCUGGCACUAGUGCUAGUGGGUUUAACUCAAGCUUUGGUUCUAGUAUGGAUACAAAGUCAUCGGGGUGGGGUAUGUAAGUUGUGUUUUGAUUUUGAAGUGUUAUUUCUAGUGUGUUUGGUAAGUAUUUUUCAAGAUACUUAUCUCGUCACGUGUGUUUGGGAUUGGGGAUGGGUAAAAUGAGGAGUCUGGGGACUUCAACAAAAACAGAAUGUUUUGUACAUUGAAUGCAGAUUAAUUUAGUCUAUGGAGUGACAUGUUAACCAGGGUGUUACGUUAAUGUACCAUCUUUGGUGUUAUGUUUCCCCCCCAAUGUUGUAUUGUCUUAGUUAAUGCACAACGCAUUUCAACUGGAUUCUUAUAAUGCAUGUUGUUCAAUCUGAAUAUCUAAAAAUGCAUGAGAAUUGCAUAGUCUUAAGUACAUUUAUCAUUACAUUGGAAGAAAGAAACUUGCAUUCGAAAGAAUCUGGUUGGAAAUAUUUAAGUUCAGCUUUAUUGCAGUCCAGUUUUGUGGAAACACUUUAAAACAAGCCUUCAUCAAAAUCUCUUCUGCAGUUGACAUCUGUGGGGUUUGCCAGGGAAGAGCGCCCUCUAUGGCAGCACAGUGUGGCUGAGGUCAUUAGGUCACCUUCCUCCACAUGUCUAUAUGCUCUCAUCGCACAGCUCGAUGACACGGUGGGUGUCUACUUUUUAAUCCACUUUUUAUGACAAGAACUGCGCUGAAACUGACGUUUUUUUAAACAACCCUUGAGUGCGAUUGGUGAUGACGAAGAGUGAGAAGGCUGCGAGUGAGCGAAGAAAGUGUGGAGCGCACGAACGAAAAGACUUGCGAGUGCAAUGAAAGAGAGCCCAAUUGUGACUGCAGUGGGUGGCUUUGGUGAGCGUGUGAAUGAGAGCUGCUGAUACUUCCCAGCGUCCCCUUAAUUAAGCCCAAGUGAUGGACAUUAAGUUCCUCGAAGAUUUUUUUUUUUUGUUGUUUGUUUUUUUUUCCCUAGGUUCCCCAUUUUACUUUACUCCUUUAGUAUACUGAUAAUGUGCUUAAGUAGUUUGUGGAAUGUUGUGAUGAUGAUGAUGCAUACUUUGUCUUGCUUCUAUAAUCCCAUCUGAAUGCUGUAUGGUGUGUGUGCUUUAUUUCCUUGUAACUUGACCUGUAAGUGUGAACUUUGUGGAUGAACAUCUUCAGUGGACGCUGAGGGGGGAAAACAUGAGUGAUGGUGGGCCUGGAAUAUUGCUGGCCGCAACAGAACCCCAGGCGGGAAGUCCGUUUGGGGAUGGAGGAAGAUGGAGGAUGCUGUGGUACCCCAUUACAGCAAUAGCAUCUCUGGUAACAGCCAUGGACACUGUAGAAUGUUGCAGAAUUGGUAGAUGCUACAAGAUGGGCUGCCUUCUCAGAAUAAAUUUAAGCCUAAUGAAGAAUCAAGGUCCAUACUUUUAACUUUCCAGUCCCUCUAAAGUAACCUUAAAGGAAUAUUUCAUGUUCAAUACAAGUUAAGCUCAAUCGACAGCAUUUGUGGCAUAAUAUUGAUUAAAUUUGACACGUCCCUCCUUUUCUUUAAAAAAAUAAAUCUAGGUUACAGUGAGGCACUUACAAUAGACUUGAAUGGGGCCAAUUUUUUAAUGUACAAAUACUGUUUCAAAAGUAUAGCUUCAAGACAAAGGAAAUGUAAACAUGAUUUUAGUGUAAUAAAAAUAAUUUAAUACCUUUUCUGUGUCAAGUUAUAGCUAAUUUUACAGCUUCAUUACCAUGACAAUUUAAAACCCUAAAAUGACAAAAAAUUAUGAUUUAAACAACUUUACAGCUCAAAUAAUACAGACGUUUUACCAGAAUGGAAGUGCUUUUAUAAAAUUAUAUGCUUCACAUUUCUGUUUAAACCCUCUAAAAAUUGGCCCCAUUCACUUCCAUUGUAAGUGCCUCACUGUAACCCAGAUUUUUGCUUUUUUUAAAGAAAACGAGUGACAAGUCGAAAUUAGUUGGAAUCAACAUUAUGCCACAAAUACUGUCAAUCUGAGCUUAACUUGUAUUGAACCCGGAACAUUCCAUUAAUAGUAUUUACCGUGAGCUGGGGCUGGAUUUACAAAAUGAGUUUACAUGCACACCAAUACCCAGAUAACUCCCAAAAAUCAGCUUAUUUAAAAAAUUGGACAAAGAAAAACACAUUUACAUGAGAUUUGAAAUAAUCAGAGUUAUUCUCUGCUUUUGACGUCAAACCGUGAAGAGGCAUGCGCACAACACUUAGUACAUUGGAUAAGUCAGUAAAGGUGUUUACAUGCAAUGCGAAAUUGGGGUAAUGGGCAAAAAUCAAGAGUCAAUUGGUUUAUUCUUGAGCAGUUUUUGACCGUACACUGAUAAAAGAAAGCUGUUUAAUGCUUUGCAUGACCACACUCAUUGUUGGCUUAUUAAGCAUAAUCGGUGUAAAAACCAAAAUCUGUUUAUUACGAAAAUCCGAAAACGCAAGAAAACUGUUUUUACUGGUACAUGAGGCUUGAAAUUAUUAGAUUAUUCUCUGCUUUUUAUGUUAAAAUAUAAACAGUGUUGUGCAAAACACUUGCACACUUUGGGUAAAAGCCGAUAAGAAUGCCGGUAAAAGCAUUAAAAGCAAAACAUUUUAAUUAUGACCUUUUGAAGGUUUUUGGCUUACUAAGAAUGAUAGGGUUAAGAACGUGCAUGUAAACACACUAGUUCUUAAUUUUAUCCUUCACUAUCUAAUAUUCUCAUUUAAGAAUACUUUAUAGUCCCGAAAAGGUGUUAGAAUUUUCUUUUCGUUUUUAUACCAUAUUGCAUUAAGGAACAUUCUGAUAAUUUGUCAUUAGAAUUUUAUUUUUUAUUUUUUUUCAUGAAUCUGGCCCCUGGUUCCAAGAAAGUAUAGCAGCUCAUAGUACUUCAAUUCAGGCAUAGGUUUAAAUCAUUUUCAAGUCCAUGUCUUAAAUGUUUCUAUUAAAAUAUUUUCACAGUACAAAUCUGCACUGUUUUAUACAGCUCCAUAUUCCAAAGACCAUUUUUAUAUAUAAUAUAUAUAUAUAUAUUUUUUAUUACAAUAAAAUAUACAACCGGAUGUA